rnacentral:rRNA from 1 species
AUUGAACGCUGGCGGCAUGCUUUACACAUGCAAGUCGAACGGCAGCGCGGGGCAACCUGGCGGCGAGUGGCGCACGGGUGAGUAAUAUAUCGGAACGUACCCAGAAGUGGGGGAUAACGUAGCGAAAGUUACGCUAAUACCGCAUACGAUCUACGGAUGAAAGUAGGGGACCGCAAGGCCUUAUGCUUUUGGAGCGGCCGAUAUCUGAUUAGCUAGUUGGUGAGGUAAAGGCUCACCAAGGCGACGAUCAGUAGCUGGUCUGAGAGGACGACCAGCCACACUGGAACUGAGACACGGUCCAGACUCCUACGGGAGGCAGCAGUGGGGAAUUUUGGACAAUGGGCGCAAGCCUGAUCCAGCAAUGCCGCGUGAGUGAAGAAGGCCUUCGGAUUGUAAAGCUCUUUUGUCAGGGAAGAAACGGUAGAGGCUAAUAUCCUUUGCUAAUGACGGUACCUGAAGAAUAAGCACCGGCUAACUACGUG